rnacentral:rRNA from 1 species
CCUACGGGUGACAGCAGUGGGGAAUAUUGCACAAUGGGGGAAACCCUGAUGCAGCGACGCCGCGUGAGUGAAGAAGUAUUUCGGUAUGUAAAGCUCUAUCAGCAGGGAAGAAAAUGACGGUACCUGAUUAAGAAGCCCCGGCUAACUACGUGCCAGCAGCCGCGGUAAUACGUAGGGGGCAAGCGUUAUCCGGAUUUACUGGGUGUAAAGGGAGCGUAGACGGUUAUGUAAGUCUGGAGUGAAAGCCCGGGGCCCAACCCCGGGACUGCUUUGGAAACUGUGUAACUGGAGUGCAGGAGGGGCAGGCGGAAUUCCUGGUGUAGCGGUGAAAUGCAUAGAUAUCAGGAGGAACACCGGCGGCGAAGGCGGCCUGCUGGACUGAAACUGACGUUGAGGCUCGAAAGCGUGGGGAGCAAACAGGAUUAGAUACCCCUGUAGUC